rnacentral:rRNA from 1 species
UGACUGAGACACGGCCCAGACUCCUACGGGAGGCAGCAGUAGGGAAUCUUCCGCAAUGGACGAAUGUCUGACGGAGCAACGCCGCGUGAACGAAGAAGGCCUUCGGGUCGUAAAGUUCUGUUGUUAGGGAAGAACAAGUACCAGAGUAACUGCUGGUACCUUGACGGUACCUAACCAGAAAGCCACGGCUAACUACGNNNNAAGAAAACAAAANGUAAUACGUAGGUGGCAAGCGUUGUCCGGAAUUAUUGGGCGUAAAGCGCGCGCAGGUGGUUCCUUAAGUCUGAUGUGAAAGCCCACGGCUCAACCGUGGAGGGUCAUUGGAAACUGGGGAACUUGAGUGCAGAAGAGGAAAGUGGAAUUCCAAGUGUAGCGGUGAAAUGCGUAGAGAUUUGGAGGAACACCAGUGGCGAAGGCGACUUUCUGGUCUGUAACUGACACUGAGGCGCGAAAGCGUGGGGAGCAAACAGGAUUAGAUACCCUGGUAGUCCACGCCGUANNNCGAUGANNNNNANGUGUUAGAGGGUUUCCGCCCUUUNNNNCNNNNNCNNNNAUUAAGCACUCCGCCUGGGGAGUACGGCUGCAAGGCUGAAACUCAAA